rnacentral:rRNA from 1 species
CGACCGGCGCACGGGUGAGUAACGCGUAUGCGACCUGCCCGUUGCAGGGGGAUAAUCGGGAGAAAUCCCGUCUAAUACCGCGUAACGCCGCGGGGCUGCAUGGCCCUGCGGCCAAAGGGAGCGAUUCCGGCAACGGAUGGGCAUGCGUGACAUUAGCUAGUUGGCGGGGCAACGGCCCACCAAGACAACGAUGGAUAGGGGUUCUGAGAGGAAGGUCCCCCACAUUGGAACUGAGACACGGUCCAAACUCCUACGGAAGGCAGCAG